CUGAAAUUUUCAAAAACAACCAAGAAGGAAAGCAACUGCUACUGGAAGAGGAGAGGCAAAGACAGCACCUGGUCCUACUGCUUUCCAACAAUGAUGCAUUUGCACCAUCGCCUUGCGUAUUUUAAAACUUUCAACCUGAAGUGGAUUAUGGGAGAUGACUGGGGAGCAGCCAGACUCGGAGCUGUGGAAAGAGCUUUCCUGUGAUCCUUUACCUUCUGACAACACAAGUUAUAACUCAUGAAGAAAGGCACUUAACACUCCAUGUACCACCACCUUUUGGCCUCAGCUGGACAGCUGAAGUAAAAUCAUUGUCUGCUACCACUGUGAAUGUUCCAACAACAUGAAAGAAAUAAAUCAUUUAAUUGAA